rnacentral:tRNA from 13 species
GCAGUCGUGGCCGAGUGGUUAAGGCGUGGACUCGAAAUCCAUUGGGGUUUCCCGCGUAGGUUCGAAUCCUACCGGCUGCG